GGAGUUUUGGCACACACAAUAUUAGGGGUUACUUGGGAUGAAACUACAGGACAAACCAAAUUCCUUAUUCUGGAUCCACACUACACUGGCGAUGAAGACCUGCAAGUUAUUCUGGAAAAGGGCUGGUGUGGGUGGAAAGGCCCAGACUUUUGGGAUCCAAAUGCAUAUUACAAUCUAUGCCUGCCUCAAACACCAAAGGUUAUUUAGUGAUUCUUUGUAUGCAUCUGUAUAUGUGUAUAUCAACUAUCAUUUUAAUAAAAUUUGAUAUUAUAAACUGCA